rnacentral:lncRNA from 1 species
AUGCAAAUGAACAUUCCCCUUGGCUGGCGGCUUCAUUUUGUCUGCUCCUUAAUGUACACGUGGCUGGCCAAGAAGGGAAGAUGGAGCCGCCAUUUUCUAGCUGCCAUGUCUAGUCCCAGGUAGUUCUUUCCUGCCGGCAUUCACCGUGAAAGCUCCCAGCGUGCUUGUCUAUGUCUGCAGCUCAACUUCACAGGCUGCUCUUUGUUAGAAAAUGAUUUGGGGCAGCUUUUCAUUAAAAGAAAAACGUUACCAAGGACUUCUGGACUAUCUGCCUAAAUCUAUGCCUUGAUAGGUCUUCAGUUACUCAUGGUGAAACAUGUAAGCCUUGAAAAACUUUUUGUAUGGAGUUGUGCUGGGAAGCAGUUUUCCCACCAGGGACAACAUCUUCUAGUCCUUUUACAUCUAAGUAGUACCAUGAGACUGGAUCAUGCCAAAGAAAUGUUUUGGAAGUGAGAUGUUUCACUUUGGAACCAAGGAACUGAAAAAACAGAUAGAGGGAGCCCAAGCCAAGAAGAGAGGUCUGGUAUCAAAGAUUUGCUGAAUUCACAAUUGAAGAGGCUUAUGUCAGUCCCUUAGAAAGAAUUUGAGGACUCCUCGGAAAAUUGCUGAGUUGAGUAAAUAUUUCCUUCCAUAAAGGUGAAGCCUUGAUGACUGUGGUUUGAAUUCACUGGGAAAAGUGGAAUCGUCAAGAGACCCGGGCUAACUAAAUCCCUCUGGGAGCCUCAGCAGCUGAGGCCAUCACUCAAAAUUAAGGCUCAACUCAGCUGUACUUCUCACCACGUGGCAAAGGAUGGACCAAAGGCUGGGAGCAACUGGGAGUGUCUGGGAACACUUUCUGGUUGUCACAGUGAUCAGCAGCCAGGAGCAGCCUGCAAUGUGAAGACAGUCCUGUGGGACAGUCCUAGGCUACAGGGAACUGUCCUGCAUCCUGCAUGUCUUAUAAACAUCCUACUGGACGUCGAUGUUUGACUGUGCCCCAAGGAAGCCACACAAACUGUGUAGCCAGACAGUCUGUCUGGGAGGAGAAGGAAGGAAUUUAUCUACCAGCUCCCAUCUCUCAUGGACCAAAUUCUUCCCCACUGUACAUAACUCCAUAUCACUUUCAGAUUGCAUAAGGGUGAGAGCUGAAUGUAGGCUCCAACAGGAAGACGGCAUUGAAGCCUGGUUGCUUGUUACUACUCAGAAUGCCAUCUACAAAAGGAAAUUAUGUAAAAAGCAAUAAAGAACCCCUUUUGUUCUUGCAGGA